UUAAACGCAUUUUUGACGUCAAGGGUGACAACCGGGCAGUAUUUCUUAGUACCACCCAACCACCGCUUGCCAGCAAUGGCCUUUUCAGCGAUUGCUUUAACUACACCGAUUGCGUCUGUAGGUGAACACCUUUUUCUGAAGCCGAAUUGGUUUUUAGAUAGAUGAAUCUCUGUGGCCUCUUCGAGUCUACGUUUUAUAAUAUGCUCGAGUACCUUACCGGUUGAGUCCAGCAUGCACAGUGGGCGAUAUCCAGCAGAAGAAGUAGGGUUUUGGACCUUUGGUAUGAGUACCAGCUUCUGGAGCUUCCAUAUGUUUGGGAAUAUUCCUUCGCGAAGGCAUGAAGUAAAGACGCUGGCAAAUACUUCCGGAUUGCAAGCAAUCGCCUUUUUUAGGGCUACGUUUGGUACUCCGUCAGGUCCUGGUGCCUUGUUAACGGCUAUCUCGCCUCCCGCACUUGUGACCUCUUCUACCGUUACCUCCGGGACGGUACUAGUAGGUUCCUCACAGAGUUCCCGCGUGAACGUUGUAUGUGCGGGAAAGAGAUCGUGUACGAUUUGUGCAAGGAGCGUGGGGCAUGUUGGCUGUACUGUAUGCUUAAAUUUUUUGAGCACAAGUUUGUAAGCAAACCCGAAAGGGUUGCUGAUCAAUUCAUAUCAGAUGUCUUUAAACAUUAGCUUUUUGCUGUCAUAGAUAGCUUUCUUAAACAGCUUUCGCUUUUCCUUAUAGUCCAUCCGGAGAUGAGUAGCAUUUUCUGUGUUUCGUGAGCGCUGGCAAACUCUUCUGGCACGGUUACAUUGUGUUCGUAACGCGGCUAUCUCGUCGUUCCACCAGUAGGCUGGCUUGCGAGCUUUAUGCCGGUUUUGGCGCACCAUAGCUACAUCACAAGCCUCAACAAUGGCUUUCAUGAGCUCAGGUGCUGCGGCUACUGCCGGGCCUGAAACGUGCGUAUUGCUGAAGGCUACCUCGAAGAGUUUUUCGUCAAAGCUUUUUACCUUCCAUCCGAGGCGUCUCUUGGGAGGGGCUAUGUCGAUAGCUGGUUUCUCGAUGGUUAUUAUUAUUGCCCUGUGAUCGCUAUGGGUGUAGCAGUCGCUGAUAUGCCAGGUGGCAUCCCUGCUCAGCCCACUGCUUAUAAAGGUCAGGUCGAUAAUGGAUCCCCUUCCGUUCCUACAAAAAGUGUUUUCGGUGCCAGUAUUCAGCAGAAUAACAUUAAGUGCUGCUAGAGCAUCGAGUAAUUGUCUACCCUUUGCGUUUGUUCUUCUGCAUCCCCACUCUACUGCCCAAGCGAUGAAGUCUACUGCCCAAGCGUUGAAGUCUCGCAAACUAGCUCGUCGAUGAUGGCUGUAAAGCUAGCCAGAU